AAGAACUGAUAUUCUGAGGGUUGGAAUGACAGGGUAACGCCUUGAAACGACCCCACUGAUACUCCGACUUGCACAAUCCUAUGUAAGAGGGAAUAUGUAAGGAGCUCGGUGAAGUCGCCUGAGAGUUGUCGUAGUUGCUCAUCAAGAGCCAACCGAAAGCUGUCCAGCGGUGGAUGGUGCAACCUAUAGGGCGGGUGUCCGAAAA
rfam:Paenibacillus polymyxa SC2 plasmid pSC2, complete sequence.